CACCAUGUUGGCCAGGAUGGUCUCGAUCUCUUGACCUCGUGAUCUGCCUUGGCCUCCCAAAGUGCUGAGAUUACAGGCGUGAGCCCUUGUGCCCAGCCUCUAAUCUUAAAUAUUGUUAUGAUGGUGAUUUUCUAAAGGUUCAGUGGUUCAUUCGAUGAAUAUUCAUUAAAUAUGUACUAGAGACAGCUUUAGCCACUAGAAAUACAUUAGUGAAUAGAGACAAACAAGUUUUCUUACUCAUGAAAAUUACCUUCUGCUAGGGAAGAUGUAUAGUAAACAAGAAAACAAAUACAUAAUGUGUUUUUAAAUAAUUUCAAGUCCUAUGAUGAAAAAAAAUCUGAGUAAAGAAAAAUAGAGAAUGAUAGCUGCAUGAUGUAAGGAGAGGGACCAGUUUUGGUUCUCUUAGAUUACAAGGUUAGAGAAGUCUUCUAAGACAACGUUUGAAUAGAGCCCUGAAUAUGAGAAAGAACAGACUAUUAACGAUCAGGGGGAAAGCAUUCAAAGCAGGGGAAUCAGCAAGUGUAAACAUUUACAAGUGUAAAAAUCAGGUUGGUGGUUUUGAGGAACAAUAAGAGGCAAGCAGGACCAAAACAGAGUUAGGUAAAGAGGAGAGAGGGUAGUAGGAGUAAAAUAUACCAGAAGAUUAGUUUGGGAGAAGUAGGUUGGGGGCCAUAUGUUAUAAGAUCUUUGAAAACAUUUGAGUUUUUAGGCCCAUAAAUUUUGAUCUGUUUUAUAUUUUUAAAGGAUCGCUAUGGUUUGCUGUAUGAAGAAAGACUAUAGUUGUAGUUUUCAAAGUGUGGUCCAGGGACACUAAGAAUCCCUGAGACCCUUUCAGUGGGAUUCUGCCCAAACUGUUUUCAUGUUACUAAGAUGUUAGUCAGCUUUUUCAUUCUGAUUCUCUUAGGGGGCACAGUGGAAUUUUCCCAAGUCUAUAUGAUAUGUGGUGAUAUCCUUACUCUGACAAUGGAAUAUGUAUAUUCUUGUGAUUUAAAUUUCUCUCAGUUUUAAUUUCUAACACGGUGAAUAUUGAUAAGUAUAACUCACAUAAACAAAAGCUCUUUGGGUCCUUAAUAAUUUUUAAGAAUAUGAAGGGGUCAUGAAAGAUAACCAAAAGAAAUAGAACUGUUGGAUUAUAAGAGUAGAGUAGAGGCAGCUAGACUAGUUAUCAGCUAUUGUAGUAGUCCAGCUAAGAGAUGCUGGUGGCAUCAGUUCAUCGCAAUCUCAGAGGAAGGUGGCUGUUGAGAGCGGCGAUAAUCCAGAAUGGCUUCUCUGAUCUAUGUUGAUAAGGAAAAUGGAGAAACAGGCACUUGUGUGGCUGCUAAGGAUGGGCUGAAGCUGGGGUCUGGACCUUCAGUCAAAGCCUUAAAUGAGAGAUCUCAAGUUGCAAUACCACGUUUUGGCAAAACGUUUGAUGCUCCACCAGCCUUACCUAAAGCUACUAGAAAGGCUUUGGGAACUGUAAACAGAGCUACAGAAAAGGCAGUAAAGACCAGUGGACCCCGCAAUCAAAAACAGCCAAGCUUUUCUCCAAAAGGAUGACUGGGAAGACUGUUAAAGCAAAAAGCUCUGUUCUCCCUCAGAUGAUGCCUAUCCAGAAACAGAAAAAUCCUUUCCCUUCGAUCCUCUAGACUUUGAGAGUUUUGACCUGCCUGAAGAGCAUCAGAUUGCACACCUACCGUUGAGUUGAGUGCCUCUUAUGACCCUUGACAAGGAGAGAGAGCUUGAAAAGCUGGUUCAACUGGGCCUCCCUUCACCUGUGAAGAUGCCCUCUCCACCAUGGAAAUCCAAUCUGUUGCAGUCUCUUUCAAGCAUUCUGUUGACCCUGGAUAUUGAAUUGCCACCUGUUUGCUAUGACAUUGAUAUUUAAAUUUCUUAGUGCUUUAGCGUUUGUAUUAAUAAACAUUCUUUAACAGAAAAAAAAAAAGAUGCUGGUAUGUUAGACAAGAGUUGGGAAUAGAGAUAAUCAGAAGUCAUUGAAUUUGAUGUAUCCUUUGAUGAAAAAAGUUGCAGGGGUGUGGGGAGGGGACCUAACAGAAUUUGUAGAUAGAUGAAUGUGAGUUGUGAAGGAAAGAGUGAGUGAUCAGGAAUGACUCCUAGAUUUUUCUCCAGCAUAAUUAGGUGCAUAGUGACAUUGGGAGGAGGUUUAGAUGGGAAAAAAUCAGUUUUUCGAUUGUAAUUGAAUUAGUUACUAACUUCAUCUCCUUUGUUGUGGGGGUUGUUCCACUGGAAAAAGGAAAAAGCUAUUUGUUUCUUUGAGUUAGGCACUAAGCCAAAAUCAUAAUUUAUGAUGAGGUGUGUUGAACAUUUUUGGAUUGUGGUCUUUACAUAGCAUAUUUAUACUCUGUAUGGGAUUCAUGCUGUGGUUUACAAUUUAUGCAUGGGAUUAAGACAGAAUACCCAGUGAACUUACAAUAGAGCACAGAGGUAUUACAAAAUAACUACACAAGGUUAUAAAUGGAAAUCUUUUUUUUAUGUAAUACAUAUACUUCAAACUUUUAAAAAAAGCUUCUAAGUUUCUGCUCAGUUUCAUGUCUUGAAAAAAUGCUCUAUGUACCUGUUUUGAUCAGUAAAGUCAAUAUAUGAUCAAAUGGGAGAUGUCUCUGUUAUCCAUAUCACUACUUCAUAUUAUUGGAUUAUAAAUUAUUUUAACAUGUUCUUAUACCGUAAUAUCAAUAUACUUAAUUUUAUUAGAAAACAUUAUUUUAUGCAAGAUUGGAUGCAUUACAGAAUUAAGAUUUCUCUUUAUUAGCAGUAGCUCUAAAAAUAGCUUUAAGCACAAAAAUAAUAUCUUUACGAGUUCUCAGAAUAGAGACAAUCCAUGUGUUAGAAUAAUUGGCUUUUAAUAAAACAUUUAUGAUUUAAGAACUUAA